UACGAAGGGGGCUAGCGUUGUUCGGAAUUACUGGGCGUAAAGGGCGCGUAGGCGGCGUGUCAAGUCAGGCGUGAAAGCCCCGGGCUCAACCUGGGAACCGCGCUUGAGACUGGCAUGCUCGAGUUCGGGAGAGGAUGGUGGAAUUCCCAGUGUAGAGGUGAAAUUCGUAGAUAUUGGGAAGAACACCGGAUGGCGAAGGCAGCCAUCUGGACCGACACUGACGCUGAGGCGCGGAAAGCGUGGGGAGCAAACAGG
rnacentral:rRNA from 1 species